rnacentral:rRNA from 1 species
AACGAACGCUGGCGGCAUGCCUAACACAUGCAAGUCGAACGAGACCUUCGGGUCUAGUGGCGCACGGGUGCGUAACGCGUGGGAACCUGCCCUUAGGUUCGGAAUAACUCCCCGACAGGGGUGCUAAUACCGGAUAAUGUCUUCGGACCAAAGAUUUAUCGCCUUUGGAUGGGCCCGCGUUGGAUUAGCUAGUUGGUAGGGUAAAAGCCUACCAAGGCGACGAUCCAUAGCUGGUCUGAGAGGAUGAUCAGCAACACUGGGACUGAGACACGGCCCAGACUCCUACGGGAGGCAGCAGGGGGGAAGAUUGGACAAUGGGCGAAAGCCUGAUCCAGCAGUGCCGCGUGAGUGAUGAAGGCCUUAGGGUGGUAAAGCUCUUUUACCCGGGAUGAUAAUGACAGUACCGGGAGAAUAAGCUCCGGCUAACUCCGU